CCCAGCCAGAUCCAUGAAUGAUAACUCUUGAGAAACCUCUCAGAAGCUAAACAGGGUUGGGCCUGGUUAGUACUUGGAUGGGAGACUCUUGAGAAACCAAGUUGAAAGGGG
ensembl:rRNA 5S_rRNA 5S ribosomal RNA